rnacentral:rRNA from 1 species
UACGGGGGGGGCAAGCGUUGUUCGGAAUUACUGGGCGUAAAGGGCGCGUAGGCGGCCUUCUAAGUCGGACGUGAAAUCCCUCGGCUCAACCGAGGAACUGCGUCCGAUACUGAAAGGCUUGAAUCCGGGAGAGGGAUGUGGAAUUCCAGGUGUAGCGGUGAAAUGCGUAGAUAUCUGGAGGAACACCGGUGGCGAAGGCGGCAUCCUGGACCGGCAUUGACGCUGAGGCGCGAAAGCUAGGGGGAGCAAACGGG